GAGCUUGCCCCUUCUUGCCAAUACUAUUCAAUGACAAUCUAAUCCGGUAAUGGUUAAAUUGCAUUGAUUGGUAUUGGCAAACGCUC
rnacentral:pre_miRNA from 1 species